UACGAAGGGGGCUAGCGUUGUUCGGAAUCACUGGGCGUAAAGGGCGCGUAGGCGGCUAUGUAAGUCGGGGGUGAAAGCCUGUGGCUCAACCACAGAAUUGCCUUCGAUACUGCAUGGCUUGAGACCGGAAGAGGUCAGCGGAACUGCGAGUGUAGAGGUGAAAAUUCGUAGAUAUUCGCAAGAACACCAGUGGCGAAGGCGGCUGACUGGUCCGGAUCUGACGCUGAGGCGCGAAAGCGUGGGGAGCAAACAGG
rnacentral:rRNA from 1 species